rnacentral:tRNA from 1 species
CACUAAGAAGCUUACACCACAGCACUAGCCUUUUAAGCUAGCGAGGGGGCAUGCCCCCUUAGUGA